rnacentral:rRNA from 1 species
AUGCAUCGGGGCGGCGUGCUCCUCGCGCAAGGGCGAAGCAGAGGAGGCGAGCAGGGCAGCGGGCAGCUUCGCUGGCGUCGGGACUCAACGGAGAUGAAGCAGGCAAGGUGGGAGAGGGUCGUGGCCUCGUGGGGGUCGGGAACGGGCGCGGCGGCGCCGAUUUCCUCCGGAUCUGGCGCGACGGCAUCGGACGCUGACGAGGGCACCCGGCAGGGUGGUUGCUUCCUCGAGCACCAUGAGAGAACUCCUGAGAGAGAGAGAAAACAAAGAGACAUGAGGCAGGAAGGAAGAGGAAAACCGAUGGGAGGAAGGGAGCGAGCGGCGGGGAUCAUCUGUAGUGGCGGGGCUCUCCUGGAGGGGCUCCGAUGGUGGAUCUCACCAGCGGGAGGCGGAGCGAGGGUGCUGGCUAGCACACGGGACGACAGCGCUGGAUCGUGGGACUGUUGCUGCUUUGGUGGCCGGCGGCCAUGGCUCCCUGCGAGGAACAACGGGACGGGGAGGCACGGUCAGGGAAGAACAACAGCGAAGAGAGAGCGAGGGAGGCUGGGUUGGAGGAGAUCGAGGAGAGGAGUGGCGGCUGCCUUCGGGUGGAAUUUGGCAGUGACGAGGGGGUUGGUCUGGUUAGAAAUUCGAGGAGGAUUUUUGGAUUUGGGGAGGAUCCCGAGGUGGGAGAUGCUGGCGGCGGUGGGAUGGGACAAGGGUCCUAAUUUUUAG